ACCAGUCUUAAGUAGCACAAAUAUAUUUGUAGAAAUAGCCAACAAUACAUUGUAUGGGUUAAAAUGAUAGAUUUUUAUUUUAUGCCGAAAACCUUUAGGAUAUUACAUAAAGAUCAUGUUCCAUGAAGAUAUUUUGUAAAUUUACUACCUUUAAUGUCAAAACUUACAUUUUUGAUUAGAAAUAUGCAUUGCUAAGGACUUCAUUUGGACAACUUAAAAAGCAAUUUUC